GGAGAGAUGGCUCAGUGGUUAAGAGCACUGGCUGCUUUUCCAGAGGACCUGGGUUCAAUUCUCAGCAUCCA
rnacentral:tRNA from 1 species